rnacentral:rRNA from 1 species
AUUGAACGCUGGCGGCAAGCCUAACACAUGCAAGUCGAACGCGUGGCGGACGGGUGAGUAAUGUCUGGGAACGUGCCUGAUGGCGGGGGAUAACUACUGGAAACGGUAGCUACUAACGCAUACCAUUGGAUGUGCCCAGAUGGGAUUAGCUAGUAGGUGGGGUAAAGGCUACCCAAGGCAACGGUCCAUAGCUGGUCUGAGAGGAGUACCAGCCACACUGGGACUGAGACACGGUCCAGACUCCUACGGGAGGCAGCAGUGGGGAAUGUUGCACAAUGGGGGCAAGCCUGAUGGAGCCAUGCCGCGUGUAUGAGGAAGGCCUUCGGGUUGUAAAGUACUUUUAGCAGGGAGGCGGUACCUGCAGAAGAAGCACCGGCUAACUCCGUGCCAGCAGCCGCGGUAAUUC